AUAAAUAAAGAUAACAAAGAAAAACUUUAUUUAUACAAUAAAAUAUGUACAAUGACAGAAUUCCUUAUGUAAGCUACAUUUGACAGAAGCAUAUGAGGCUAGUAACAAAUGGAAAUAUUACAUUCUAUAAAGCAUGCAGUAUACUUUCUAGCAAUGGCAUAUGAAAAAAAAAACUUAGGAAAAUGUACAUACAGUAUUUUGUCAAUAGAAUGCAUUGAACAAGUAUGAUAAAUAGCAUAAGGGUGGAAAUUUAACGUCUACAUUUCUAAAUUCUUUAACUAUCCAAAUUCAUUUAACUAGCACAUUAACCCUUAGUCUUGUCUGUCCCCAGCGCCCUAUGAAUUUGAGGUUUAAAUGAUAAACUUAUGGCACAGUACAUAAAAUCAUAAAUCCCAGAUAUAUUUACAUAUUAUCUUUAUAUAUAUAUAUAUAUAUGCAUAUGUAUGCAAAUACACGCAUGAACAUUUCUUCUUGCAUAUUUCACAAACAUGAAAGUGAAGAAGUGCAAUAAUGCAAUAAUAUUCAAGCAUAACAAGCAAAUUGUUCCAUUUUUUUUAUUUUUGUAUUUAUGUUUUGCUUCCGAUGAAGCAUGCAAUAUGCUACGUAUCACAUUCAGCAGUGUUUUUUCAUUUAAGUCUUUCAUUCAAUACGUAAUAGAUUUUUAAAUUUUCAUUUUGAAAUGGUGGUCUUUUUUAGGAUUAGCAAUGCCCACUUAAUUCACAGUUCUUUCUAUAUCUGCUAUCCAGUUUUGUUACCUGGUCAUGACUGGUUAAUUUAUCUGUUACCUUGGGAAAUAUCAGUCACCCAGCCUUAUAUAGAAAUUUCCAAGUCGGAGGCACAGCAAUUUCAAAUAUAAAUGUAAAACAUCAGUGAACCAAGAAUAUAUAAAGUAUAGAGGCUUUUAUGAGGAGGCUUUUAGUGUGAUUUACUGAGACACAGUGUGCAAUAGUGUUUAAUGCUUUAUUUAAUUUGCAUUACGGGAAAGUAAGUAUCGCUUAUCUAAGAAUAAAUAUUUUACCAAUAGAUAAUUGAUGAUCAUUGUAUUUAAGAUAUAAUUCCCUUUUAUGAAUGCUAGACUUGCAAUUACAUAGAGAACUAUUCCUUCCUGGAAAGUGUCAGAUGAUAUACCGAGUUUGUAUUUUGUAUUUAUUCUAAUCAUAAAUUUUAUAAAUGAGUCUGAUAUAUUAAUAUUAAUAAAAAGAACCCACCAAUGGCCUAUUAAAAAUUCAAAAGGAAUUAUGUAAAUUAUAAAAAAGGUUUCACAGAGCAAAACUCCUGAUCUUAGUAAAGAAUUAAAGAUUCAACUAAGAUACAAUAAAUCAGUCAUAUUAAGUAUCUCUGAACAAUUACAAUGCAUAAACACUUAAUAUAAAAUAAUACGACAUGAAAAUGUACUAGAGCACAGCCCUAAAAUAUU